rnacentral:misc_RNA from 1 species
GGAGGGAUCAUUAGUAAAUCAAAUUUGGAUCCAGGUGGGCCGAGUAGCAGCAGCCGAGGGAUCGGGUGCGAAAGUCCCACAUCAGGAAACGUGACCGGUUCAAGUCUCGUGACCCCGCGAGCCCGACUCGGGCAAGCGGACGCGAGCCCAGUACACCGAAAUAUGGAGAGGCGAGAAAAGGAGAGCCGAGCGAGAGAGCUCGCCCCGAGGGGCUUGUUGUCUUGUCGCGCUCGAGAAAGAAAUAAAAAGGGAGAACUUUUAACAACGGAUAUCUUGGUUCUCGCAACGAUGACGAGCGCAGCGAAAUGCGAUACUUAGUGUGAAUUGCAGAAUUCAGUGAAUCAUCGAGACCUUGAACGCAAAUUGCACCUGCAGUCAUCUGCAGGUACACCUGUUUGAGUGCCUAUACAGACGCAGCCCAAGGGCGAAAUUGGGGGUCCGAGCGCAGGCUCUGUCCCCUCAAAGAGAGAGGAGGGCGAGGCGAGCAGGCCUGUUGGUUCCAAAACGGCGCGAUGGCACACCCGGUGUGGUAUCGUUUCGUCGCUAGUAAGAUCAAAGGUCGCUCAAAGAAAGCCUAGUCCUCAGGGGAAGUGCGGCAUCGACCGCACGAAAGAGGGUUCCAAGCGGACCCCUCGACCACCUGGGGCCUCAAAUCAGGCGAGACUACCCGCUGAACUUAAGCAUAUCAAUAAGCGGAGGAAAAGAAACUAACAAGGAUUCCCUCAGUAACUGCGAGUGAAGUGGGAUAAGCUCAAGCUUAAAAUCAGGGGCAGUCUAUGCCCCCGAAUUGUAGUUUUGUGAACGGCCUCACUGGCGAGCCGCCUUGGUAUAAGUCCUCUGGAACGAGGCGCCGAAGAAGGUGAUAGCCCUGUGCACGACCAAGGGGUACCGGCUCGUCGACCGUGUUGCCGAUUCGGAGAGUCGGGUUGUUUGGGAGUACAGCCCAAAGUGGGAGGUAAAUUCCUUCUAAAGCUAAAUAACGGCGAGAGACCGAUAGCGAACAAGUACCGUGAGGGAAAGAUGCAAAGAACUUUGAAAAGAGAGUUAAAAGUGCUUGAAAUUGUUAAAAGUGAAGCGAUUGGGCGCAGUACAUGCUCGCCGCCAACUCAUCCGUCUGGGCGGAGUUGGUGCGGUUGCCGUGAGUGUCCCAAGUGGCAUCACGCUGCCGUUACCUGGCGUCGUCCGGGCGGAGCAUUUUGGUGGUGGGCGAGUCAGCAUCAGCGAAGUUAGCGGGAGAAGGCCCUGAAGGAGGUGCCAUGCUGUUGGUCUCGGCCAGCGUGUGUGGGUUAAACUUUGGGCGGAUACCGUUGACCUCACUGAGGCAACCUGUGGUUGAUAACCGGCGCCUCUUUUGGCGGAGUAAGGGUGGGACUGGUUCGUUGCGGCGGUGGGGACAGCGUGCUGUGCCUGUUGACCGCGGCGGAUCAUGGCCUGCCCUCUACCGUCCGGUUAAGGAUGCUGACCGAAUGCUCUCAAUCGUCCCGUCUUGAAACACGGACCAAGGAGUCUAACAUAUCUGCGAGUUAUUGGGUGGCAAACCCAGAGGCGCAAUGAAAGUGAGAGGUGGGAGUCGCGAGACGCACCAUCGACCGAUUUUGAAAUUUUUGGAUGGAUUUGAGUCGGAGCAAAUAUGUUGGGACCCGAAAGAUUGCGAACUAUGCUUGCAUAGGGUGAAGCCAGGCGAAAGUCUGGUGGAGGCUCGUAGCGAUACUGACGUGCAAAUCGUUCGUCAAAUGUGGGUAUAGCGGCGAAAGACUAAUCGAGCAAUCUAGUAGCUGGUUUCCUC